rnacentral:rRNA from 1 species
AAUACAUGCAAGUCGAGCGAACAGACGGGGAGCUUGCUCCCCCGACGUUAGCGGCGGACGGGUGAGUAACACGUGGGUAACCUACCUAUAAGACUGGAAUAACUCCGGGAAACCGGGGCUAAUGCCGGAUAACAUGUUGGACCGCAUGGUCCUACAGUGAAAGACGGUCUUGCUGUCACUUAUAGAUGGACCCGCGCCGUAUUAGCUAGUUGGUAAGGUAACGGCUUACCAAGGCAACGAUACGUAGCCGACCUGAGAGGGUGAUCGGCCACACUGGAACUGAGACACGGUCCAGACUCCUACGGGAGGCAGCAGUAGGGAAUCUUCCGCAAUGGGCGAAAGCCUGACGGAGCAAACCCGCGUGAGUGAUGAAGGCCUUCGGGUUCGUAAAACUU